GGAGAGGGCUAGCGUUAUUCGGAAUUAUUGGGCGUAAAGAGUUCGUAGGCGGUUUGUCGCGUCGUUUGUGAAAACCCGGGGCUCAACUUCGGGCUUGCAGGCGAUACGGGCAGACUUGAGUGUUUCAGGGGAGACUGGAAUUCCUGGUGUAGCGGUGAAAUGCGCAGAUAUCAGGAGGAACACCGGUGGCGAAGGCGGGUCUCUGGGAAACAACUGACGCUGAGGAACGAAAGCGUGGGUAGCAAACAGGAUUAGAUACCCUGGUAGUCCACGCCGUAAACGGUGGGCGCUAGGUGUGGGUUCCUUCCACGGGAUCUGUGCCGUAGCUAACGCAUUAAGCGCCCCGCCUGGGGAGUACGGCCGCAAGGCUAAAACUCAAAGGAAUUGACGGGGGCCCGCACAAGCGGCGGAGCAUGUGGAUUAAUUCGAUGCAACGCGAAGAACCUUACCUGGGUUUGACAUACACCGGAAAGCUGCAGAGAUGUGGCCCCCCUUGUGGUCGGUGUACAGGUGG
rnacentral:rRNA from 1 species